CCUACGGGAGGCAGCAGUGGGGAAUUUUGGACAAUGGGCGCAAGCCUGAUCCAGCAAUGCCGCGUGAGUGAAGAAGGCCUUCGGGUUGUAAAGCUCUUUUGUCAGGGAAGAAACGGUGAGGGCUAAUAUCUCUUGCUAAUGACGGUACCUGAAGAAUAAGCACCGGCUAACUACGUGCCAGCAGCCGCGGUAAUACGUAGGGUGCAAGCGUUAAUCGGAAUUACUGGGCGUAAAGCGUGCGCAGGCGGUUUUGUAAGUCUGUCGUGAAAUCCCCGGGCUCAACCUGGGAAUUGCGAUGGAGACUGCAAGGCUAGAAUCUGGCAGAGGGGGGUAGAAUUCCACGUGUAGCAGUGAAAUGCGUAGAGAUGUGGAGGAACACCGAUGGCGAAGGCAGCCCCCUGGGUCAAGAUUGACGCUCAUGCACGAAAGCGUGGGGAGCAAACAGGAUUAGAUACCCUGGUAGUCCACGCCCUAAACGAUGUCUACUAGUUGUCGGGUUUUAAUUAACUUGGUAACGCAGCUAACGCGUGAAGUAGACCGCCUGGGGAUACGGUCGCAAGAUUAAAACUCAAAUGAAUUGACGG
rnacentral:rRNA from 1 species